rnacentral:rRNA from 1 species
CCUACGGGGGGCAGCAGUGGGGAAUAUUGCGCAAUGGGCGAAAGCCUGACGCAGCGACGCCGCGUGAGGGAUGAAGGUCUUCGGAUCGUAAACCUCUGUUAGUAGGGAAGAACGGUCACUGUGCUAAUCAGUAGUGAAUUGACGGUACCUGCAAAGGAAGCACCGGCUAACUCCGUGCCAGCAGCCGCGGUAAUACGGAGGGUGCGAGCGUUAAUCGGAAUUACUGGGCGUAAAGCGCUUGUAGGCGGUAUGGCAAGUCAUGGGUGAAAUCCCAGCGCUUAACGUUGGAACUGCCUUUGAAACUGGCAAACUGGAGUAUGUGAGAGGAUAGUGGAAUUCCAGGUGUAGGUGUAAAAUCCGUAGAUAUCUGGAGGAACAUCAGUGGCGAAGGCGACUAUCUGGCACAUAACUGACGCUGAGGCGCGAAAGCGUGGGUAGCAAACAGGAUUAGAUACCCCAGUAGUC